GCCUGAGGAUGGGCACAUUCCUCGCUCCCGGCGCCUUAUCGCUAGGCUCGCGCCGCCCCGGCUGGCUGUUUGGGGACGGAGAACCCACGGCGCUGCCCUGGGCUCUCCGGUGUCCCUGGCCCCCGUGCCCCGCGGCCGCCUCGACUUACCCGCGGAGUCCGGGGAGGAAGUGGGAGCGCCGCCUUCACGCCCGCGGAGGAGGCGCCGGCAGCACCAUGGUCCCCGGUGCCGCUGCCGCUGCCGCUGCCCCCGGCCCGCUCGCUCGCCGCGCGCUCUCUUUCUCUUGCAAACUUUCGGGUUCUGCAGUCGACAAGAAACCGGGGCGACCCUCAGCAAGCCUUCCCCGUGCAGGCAGGGGGCAACUGAAGGGGACGGGACGGGUUAGAUUUGAAUCUGUUUUCUCUGAAAACGCAAAAGGACCUGUCCACAUGGAACUGCUGGAUCACCUCUCACCAGUGCAAGUCCAAUGCGAAUGUAACAUACUUGUAACAUGUUUCCUAGUUAAUGUCUCUGUCUGGGAAUCAUUCCUGCGUGCUCAACCUGCAAAGCCUGACAACCUGCUGGCAACACACUGAAUCUGUUCAGUCCUUAUACUGGAUAGCUGACUCUUUCCAUAAUUUAUGUUACAGUGCCAUCUUAUGGCAGU
rnacentral:lncRNA from 1 species